CAACCAUCAAGCGCCCCGCUUGUGUUGGGGCCCUGCGGCUGCCGCAGACCCCUAAAUCCAGUGGCGGGCUCGUCGUCGUACCGAGUGCAGUAAACAUCCUCGCUCAGGGCACGCGCCGGGUCUCUUGCCGUGAAACACCCCACAUAUCAA
rnacentral:misc_RNA from 1 species